rnacentral:tRNA from 1 species
AUUUAAAUAGCUUAAUUAGAAGAGUAUAAUAUUGAAGAUAUUGAGGUGAUUUUUAAAUCUUUAAAUA